UUUUUCUUUUUCCUCCCCUUUGAACUGGAAAAUGGCCCACUUCCCACUGGCGAAAACUCAUGAAAUUUGGCAGGACGACCGGGCCUGGUGAAAAAUUUGAUAUUCGGAAGUCGCCCAAACAAGAAAAUGCAAAAUGGCUCCAUAGCGCCCCCUAAGGUGAAAAUUCACAUGACGCCUGUACGCUUUGUCAAAAUGACACAAAAAUUGACACACACAUGUAUCUCAAUAAGAUCUACAAAAAAGUCAGUGCGGGCGUAUCUGUCAAAUGUACGGUUAAUGGGUUAUUUUGCAUUUUUUGCCGAUCCGCACACAUUGGAAUUUCGCUAACUCUUCCGAAGGCUUUCGUUCCACCGGCACCACAUUUGCUCAGGCCAAUCUACACCCCAUGGCCAUUAAAAGUUAUUCAAAUCAUGACGCUGCACCCCACGGUUUAGGUUCUAGGGGGCGCCAAAGAUAACACUAAAAUCCACAUAUUUAAAAGUCUUAUAACUUUUUAUUUUUGUCCUCACUGGCCUCCAAGUUUUCUAGGAUGAUGCAAUGUCCAGCCAUCAACACAUUUGUGAAGGAAUUUUUACUCCCCAAAAGAGCGCCCCCCCAUGGCAGGAGAAAAAAGUCCAUUUUUUCUUGUCCCCUAAGGUGAAAAUACACAUUGUUGAGUGUCACGCCUAUACGCUUUGUCAUAUUGACACAAAAUUUGACAAUCACGUGUAUCUCAAUAAGAUCUACGAAAAAGUCAAUGCGCGCGUAUCUGUCAAAUGUACGGUUAAAGGGUUAUUCCGCAUUUUUUGCCGAUCCGCACACAUUGGAAUUUCGCUAACUCCUCCGAAGGCUUUCUGUCCACCGGCACCACAUUUGCUCAGGCCAAUCUACACUCCAUGGCCAUUAAAAGUUAUUCAAAUCAUGACGCUGCACCCCACGGUUUAGGUUCUAGGGGGCGCCAAAGACAACCCUAAAAUCCACAUAUUUAAAAGUCUUAUAACUUUUUAUUUUUGUCCUCACUGGCCUCCAAGUUUUCUAGGAUGAUGCAAUGUCCAGCCAUCAACACAUUUGUGAAGGAAUUUUUACUCCCCAAAAGAGCGCCCCCCCAUGGCAGGAGAAAAAAGUCCAUUUUUUCUUGUCCCCUAAGGUGAAAAUACAUAUUGUUGAGAUUCACGCCUAUACGCUUUGUCAUAUUGACACAAAAUUUGACAAUCACGUGCCUUGCCUGGUAUCAUUUUUUUCAGCACAACCUCACCUGUGCGAAUUUACAGUUAUUUUAUCAUGUUGACAUACUGAAUUUACACAAUGGACCCAAAUUCACACACAAAACAUAAAAUCCGAGUGGAAAAAAGUAACAUUUUUACUGUGAAAACCACAAAUAGGUGUGAUGAACUGUUUUUAAAACUUAAACUUCAAAUAAAAAUUGUAAACUUCAAAACAUAUGCAAAUUUUUAACAAAGAACAUAGUGAUUUACCUCUAUUUACAUCAAAAUGCAGGCAAUGGCCCAGGCGUUCUUUUUAAAAUUAUUUACAAAACACUGUAUAGUCUCACAAAUGUCACUUUUUAUUUAUGCCACUACAAAAAAACAUGAUGUAAAUGAUGCAUGAUGUAAAACAUGAUGUAAAAAACUUGUGUAGAUCCUCCUCUAUGUCAGUCCAUGUGUAAUUUUUCCAUAAUUCUUUGUUUUUUGCAGCAUUUUUGUUAGUGUAACUGCAGAUUGUGCUGACAGUGUCUAUGGCAAAAAAAAGGAAAAAAUUAAAAUUCCUCAACAUGAACCCCUGGUGGUCUCUGAGGGUGAAACCUGCUAACUGCUGCAGCUCUGUCAGCUUCAGUCUCCCAUGCAGAGCUCUGAGCGCAUGUGUGGCUCUGCACCCUUAGCAGCGUUGCUAACUCCUCAGUAAGGAAAGCCUGCUUCAUGUCAGAGUCUCUAAACUCCAGAAGAAGUCGAUAAAAGUCCCUUUCUUUCUAAAAAAAAGUCGUUAGGGGGUCUGAAAAGUCAUUGAAUCUAACAACAAAGUCGCUAGGUUUGCAACUACGUGUCCCAGACUGCAUCCCUGCUGAGAGUCCCUCCCUCCCUUCUCAUGUUGCAGGAAGAAUGUAAGCGCCCGCCCCUUGUCAUUCAGUCACCAUAUAAUUUUGGAUUGGUUGUUGUGGUGAAGUUUUCCACCAAUAGGAGAGAUGUUGUGGUGUGUUUUUUUUUUCUUUUGGCAAGCCUUUUCCGCCUGUAAGACCUGUCGCUAAUGUCUGCAUGCUAUGUUUUCCUGUCUCAUACAGCGCGAUCGAGCGCCGAACGUGAUCAAAAUAAGCAGAAAAAAAGUAUCGCGGACAUAAUUUAUCAUAACUCUGGUUUUAUUUGGCCUAUCAACACAAUUUAAAAACUGGUAUAUAGGUUGAGGUCCUCACUUUUGAGAUAAGUUGAAACGGAGAGUCAACAAGGCUCCGUCUUGCAGCUACAUCCGGUUAAAUAUGUCAUGUGACUUGAACGCACACACACACACGCACACACACACACACACACACACACACACACACACACACACACACACACACACACACACACACACUCAGAGUCUGGUUUUUAGCACCUGCAAAAACAUGCUAUUUACAUAUUUGACAAGAAUGCAGAGGCUCCUUUUGCCCCUGAAAAAAAUCAAAUUUCAAACACAACUUGACUGGUCAUUUCUCCAAAAGACAACCAUGAAGCUCCAUCCAAACCUGAAGCAGGCAGUUGGUGCAUGUGUACAGUAACCUGAGGGGAGUGAGGUGAGUGCUUCUGAGGAGAACAUGAGCAGUGAAGAUUCACCUUGGAGCUAGAACAGAGACAUGCACAUGAUUAUACAGGGGCAGGGGCUCAAGUUUUUUCCAGUCGUUUAUACAAUAUGGAAAUUAAUGUGAAAUUAAAACACAAAGUAUUAAUAGAAAGGUAAUGACUGUCCUGUGUAGGUGACAGUGAUAUCCAAUAGGCUAGGCACUCACGAGGCUGGCUGUGGCAAGUGUAAGUGAAAGCAACACGCACUGGCAGGAAGAACAGCAAACGCCGAUGAAGGAAAAGGGUCUUUGCAGUGAUGGGCGUUACCAGAGAGGGCGAUGGCCAGAGGACACAAAUGGGACGGGGAGGCAGCACGUUGGGGGGGGGACGCGACACGGCUCGGGCCCGCCAGUGCCCCAACGGGGUCCUAGUUAGGGCCCGAGCCAGCUGCAGAGCAGCCGGGCGUAGGCCCUAUUAUUCCCCAAGUGGUUUUUCUUUGUUUCUUUCUUUCUUUUUCUUUUUCCUCCCCUUUGAACUGGAAAAUGGCCCACUUCCCACUGGCGAAAACUCAUGAAAUUUGGCAGGACGACCGGGCCUGGUGAAAAAUUUGAUAUUCUGAAGUCGCCCAAACAAUAAAAUGCAAAAUGGCUCCAUAGCGCCCCCUAAGGUGAAAAUUCACACUAUUGACUGUCACGCCUGUACGCUUUGUCAUAUUGACACAAAAAUUGACACACAUAUGUAUCUCAAUAAGAUCUACAAAAAAGUCAGUGCGGCCGUAUCUGUCAAAAUUACGGUUAAAGGGUUAUUUCGCAUUUCUUGCCGAUCCGCACACAUUGGAAUUUCGCUAACUCCUCCGAAGGCUUUCGUUCCACCGGCACCACAUUUGCUCAGGCCAAUCUACACCCCGUGGCCAUUAAAAGUUAUCAAAAUCAUGACGCUGCACCCCAAGGUUUAGGUUCUAGGGGGCGCCAAAGAUAACACUAAAAUCCACAUAUUUAAAAGUCUUAUAACUUUUUAAUUUUGUCCUCACUGGCCUCCAAGUUUUCUAGGAUGAUGCAAUGUCCAGCCAUCAACACAUUUGUGAAGGAAUUUUUACUCCCCAAAAGAGCGCCCCCCCAUGGCAGGAGAAAAAAGUCCAUUUUUUCUUGUCCCCUAAGGUGAAAAUACACAUUGUUGAGUGUCACGCCUAUACGCUUUGUCAAAAUGACACAAAAUUUGACAAUCACGUGUAUCUCAAUAAGAUCUACGAAAAAGUCAAUGCGCGCGUAUCUGUCAAAUGUACGGUUAAAGGGUUAUUCCGCAUUUUUUGCCGAUCCGCACACAUUGGAAUUUCGCUAACUCCUCCGAAGGCUUUCUGUCCACCGGCACCACAUUUGCUCAGGCCAAUCUACACCCCAUGGCCAUUAAAAGUUAUUCAAAUCAUGACGCUGCACCCCACGGUUUAGGUUCUAGGGGGCGCCAAAGACAACCCUAAAAUCCACAUAUUUAAAAGUCUUAUAACUUUUUAUUUUUGUCCUCACUGGCCUCCAAGUUUUCUAGGAUGAUGCAAUGUCCAGCCAUCAACACAUUUGUGAAGGAAUUUUUACUCCCCAAAAGAGCGCCUCCCCAUGGCAGGAGAAAAAAGUCCAUUUUUUCUUGUCCCCUAAGGUGAAAAUACAUAUUGUUGAGAUUCACGCCUAUACGCUUUGUCAUAUUGACACAAAAUUUGACAAUCACGUGCCUUGCCUGGUAUCAUUUUUUUCAGCACAACCUCACCUGUGCGAAUUUACAGUUAUUUUAUCAUGUUGACAUACUGAAUUUACACAAUGGACCCAAAUUCACACACAAAACAUAAAAUCCGAGUGGAAAAAAGUAACAUUUUUACUGUGAAAACCACAAAUAGGUGUGAUGAACUGUUUUUAAAACUUAAACUUCAAAUAAAAAUUGUAAACUUCAAAACAUAUGCAAAUUUUUAACAAAGAACAUAGUGAUUUACCUCUAUUUACAUCAAAAUGCAGGCAAUGGCCCAGGCGUUCUUUGUAAAAUUAUUUACAAAACACUGUAUAGUCUCACAAAUGUCACUUUUUAUUUAUGCCACUACAAAAAAACAUGAUGUAAAUGAUGCAUGAUGUAAAACAUGAUGUAAAAAACUUGUGUAGAUCCUCCUCUAUGUCAGUCCAUGUGUAAUUUUUCCAUAAUUCUUUGUUUUUUGCAGCAUUUUUGUUAGUGUAACUGCAGAUUGUGCUGACAGUGUCUAUGGCACAAAAAAGAAAAAAAUUAAAAUUCCUCAACAUGAACCCCUGGUGGUCUCUGAGGGUGAAACCUGCUAACUGCUGCAGCUCUGUCAGCUUCAGUCUCCCAUGCAGAGCUCUGAGCGCAUGUGUGGCUCUGCACCCUUAGCAGCGUUGCUAACUCCUCAGUAAGGAAAGCCUGCUUCAUGUCAGAGUCUCUAAACUCCAGAAGAAGUCGAUAAAAGUCCCUUUCUUUCUAAAAAAAAGUCGUUAGGGGGUCUGAAAAGUCAUUGAAUCUAACAACAAAGUCGCUAGGUUUGCAACUACGUGUCCCAGACUGCAUCCCUGCUGAGAGUCCCUCCCUCCCUUCUCAUGUUGCAGGAAUAACGUAAGCGCCCGCCCCUUGUCAUUCAGUCACCAUAUAAUUUUGGAUUGGUUGUUGUGGUGAAGUUUUCCACCAAUAGGAGAGAUGUUGUGGUGUGUUUUUUUUUUCUUUUGGCAAGCCUUUUCCGCCUGUAAGACCUGUCGCUAAUGUCUGCAUGCUAUGUUUUCCUGUCUCAUACAGCGCGAUCGAGUGCCGAACGUGAUCAAAAUAAGCAGAAAAAAAGUAUCGCGGACAUAAUUUAUCAUAACUUUGGUUUUAUUUGGCCUAUCAACACAAUUUAAAAACUGGUAUAUAGGUUGAGGUCCUCACUUUUGAGAUAAGUUGAAACGGAGAGUCAACGAGGCUCCGUCUUGCAGCUACAUCCGGUUAAAUAUGUCAUGUGACUUGAACGCACACACAGACACAGACACACACACACACACACACACACACACACACACACACACACACACACACACACACACACACACACACACACACACACACACACACUCAGAGUCUGGUUUUUAGCACCUGCAAAAACAUGCUAUUUACAUAUUUGACAAGAAUGCAGAGGCUCCUUUUGCCCCUGAAAAAAAUCAAAUUUCAAACACAACUUGACUGGUCAUUUCUCCAAAAGACAACCAUGAAGCUCCAUCCAAACCUGAAGCAGGCAGUUGGUGCAUGUGUACAAUAACCUGAGGGGAGUGAGGUGAGUGCUUCUGAGGAGAACAUGAGCAGUGAAGAUUCACCUUGGUGCUAGAACAGAGACAUGCACAUGAUUAUACAGGGGCAGGGGCUCAAGUUUUUUCCAGUCGUUUAUACAAUAUGGAAAUUAAUGUGAAAUUAAAACACAAAGUAUUAAUAGAAAGGUAAUGACUGUCCUGUGUAGGUGACAGUGAUAUCCAAUAGGCUAGGCACUCACGAGGCUGGCUGUGGCAAGUGUAAGUGAAAGCAACACGCACUGGCAGGAAGAACAGCAAACGCCGAUGAAGGAAAAGGGUCUUUGCAGUGAUGGGCGUUACCAGAGAGGGCGAUGGCCAGAGGACACAAAUGGGACGGGGAGGCAGCACGUUGGGGGGGGGGGGGGGGGGGGGCGACACGGCUCGGGCCCGCCAGUGCCCCAACGGGGUCCUAGUUAUUAUUUUUCCUCCCCUUUGAACUGGAAAAUGGCCCACUUCCCACUGGCGAACACUCAUGAAAUUUGGCAGGACGACCGGGCCUGGUGAAAAAUUUGAUAUUCCGAAGUCGCCCAAACAAGAAAAUGCAAAAUGGCUCCAUAGCGCCCCCUAAGGUGAAAAUUCACACUAUUGACUGUCACGCCUGUACGCUUUGUCAAAAUGACACAAAAAUUGACACACAC
rnacentral:lncRNA from 1 species